GUUUCUGUAGUGUAGUGGCUAUCACGUCACUUCACACGCCGAAAAGUCCCUGGUUCGAAACCAGGCAGAAACA
rnacentral:tRNA from 1 species